AUUGAACGCUGGCGGCAGGCCUAACACAUGCAAGUCGAACGAGUGGCGGACGGGUGAGUAAUGUCUGGGAAACUGCCUGAUGGAGGGGGAUAACUACUGGAAACGGUAGCUAAUACCGCAUACCAUCAGAUGUGCCCAGAUGGGUUUAGCUAGUUGGUGGGGUAAAGGCUAACCAAGGCGACGAUCCCUAGCUGGUCUGAGAGGAUGACCAGCCACACUGGAACUGAUACACGGUCCAGCCUCCUACGGUGGGCAGCAUUGGGGAAUAUUGAUAAAGGGGCGAAAGCUGGAUGCAGCAAGGCCGCGUGUAUGAAGAAGGCUUUGGGGUUGUAAAGUACUUUCAGCGGGGAGGCGUUACCCGCAGAAGAAGCACCGGCUAACUCCGUGCCAGCAACCGCGUAAUAC
rnacentral:rRNA from 1 species